CCUACGGGCGGCUGCAGUCGGGAAUUUUGGGCAAUGGGGGCAACCCUGACCCAGCAACGCCGCGUGAGCGAUGAAGGCCUUCGGGUCGUAAAGCUCUGUCGGGAGGGAAGAAGGCUAUCGGGGUGAACAAUCCCGGGGGAUUGACGGUACCUCCAAAGGAAGCGCCGGCUAACUCCGUUCCAGCAGCCGCGGUAAUACGGAGGGCGCACGCGUUGUUCGGCAUGUGUAGGCGUAUAGCGCGUGUAGGCGUGAAAGCCCGUGGCCUAACCCCGGAACUGCACUCGAAACUGCCUCGCUCGAGUCUCGGAGAGGGUGGUGGAAUUCCCGGUGUAGUGGUGAAAUACGUAGAUAUCGGGAGGAACACCAGCGGCGAAGGCGGCCACCUGGACGAUGACUGACGCUGAGACGCGAAAGCGUGGGGAGCAAACAGGAUUAGAUACCCCAGUAGUC
rnacentral:rRNA from 1 species